rnacentral:rRNA from 1 species
GAUGAACGCUGGCGGCGUGCCUAAUACAUGCAAGUCGAGCGAACAGACGAGGAGCUUGCUCCUCUGACGUUAGCGGCGGACGGGUGAGUAACACGUGGAUAACCUACCUAUAAGACUGGGAUAACUUCGGGAAACCGGAGCUAAUACCGGAUAAUAUAUUGAACCGCAUGGUUCAAUAGUGAAAGACGGUUUUGCUGUCACUUAUAGAUGGAUCCGCGCCGCAUUAGCUAGUUGGUAAGGUAACGGCUUACCAAGGCAACGAUGCGUAGCCGACCUGAGAGGGUGAUCGGCCACACUGGAACUGAGACACGGUCCAGACUCCUACGGGAGGCAGCAGCAGGGAAUCUUCCGCAAUGGGCGAAAGCCUGACGGAGCAACGCCGCGUGGGUGAUGAAGGUCUUCGGAUCGUAAAACUGUGUUAUUAGGGAAGAACAAAUGUGUAAGUAACUAUGCACGUCUUGACGGUACCUAAUCAGAAAGCCACGGCUAACUACGUG